rfam:Erinaceus europaeus unplaced genomic scaffold scaffold00602, whole genome shotgun sequence
AAUAGUCAAACAAAUUAGCAAUGGAGCUACCAAGAGAGUACAUUCAACCCUGAUUCAGAAAUAUCUCCAUUUAUCAGUUUUCUUUCAAUCAUUUAAACAUGAUGAAAUAUGCAAUUAUAUAUGAGAGAACUCCUAAUUCUUUCAUCCUAGCUGAAGCAGAAGCAUUUUAAUUGCUUGGAAAAAAUGGGAUUUUUGUUUU